rnacentral:tRNA from 1 species
GCCUAGUUAGCUUAGUUGGUAGUGCGUCUGCCUUGUGAGUCCUAGGCCGCGGGUUCGAUUCCCGCCCGGGGCG